AGUGGUGGCGGCGGCGGCGCCCGGGCGGCAGCGGCAGCAACAGCGGCAGCCCCGAGGGUGAGACGGCCGCAGCGGCGGCAGCGCGGAAGUCGCGCGGGACCCAGAGCUUCCACCCUGUCGCUAGCGCUGAGGCUUUCGCCUUUCCUACCCGCCUUCUUGCUCACGGCCCGAGCUGGGCUGGGCAGGGUAGGGCAGCGCGCCCCCGGGGAGGGGCGGAGCUGUAGAUAUGGUGUAAGAUACUUCUUCAAGAUUGGACAGCUGGGACCUUCUUCUGAUUAACCUUAAACUGACUUACAGCCACAGAGACACCUCACAAAGUUCCCAUUUUUUUUUUCUGCUUUACACCUUUUCUGGCUCCUAAGUUGACCUGGCAACCAUGUAUGGAAGUGCUCGCUCUGUUGGGAAGGUGGAACCGAGCAACCAGAGUCCUGGACGUUCACCCAGGCUUCCACGUUCCCCUCGCUUGGGUCAUCGUCGAACCAAUAGUACCGGAGGGAGUUCUGGAAGCAGCGUUGGAGGUGGCAGUGGGAAAACCCUUUCAAUGGAAAAUAUACAAUCUUUGAAUGCUGCCUAUGCCACAUCUGGCCCUAUGUACCUAAGUGACCAUGAAAAUGUGGGUUCAGAAACACCUAAAAGCACCAUGACACUUGGCCGUUCUGGGGGACGUCUGCCUUAUGGUGUUCGGAUGACUGCUAUGGGUAGUAGCCCCAAUAUAGCUAGCAGUGGGGUUGCUAGUGACACGAUAGCAUUUGGAGAGCAUCACCUCCCACCUGUGAGUAUGGCAUCCACUGUGCCUCACUCUCUUCGUCAGGCAAGAGAUAAUACAAUCAUGGAUCUGCAGACACAGCUGAAGGAAGUAUUAAGGGAAAAUGAUCUCUUAAGGAAGGAUGUGGAAGUGAAGGAGAGCAAAUUGAGUUCUUCAAUGAAUAGCAUCAAGACCUUCUGGAGCCCAGAGCUGAAGAAAGAACGAGCCCUGAGAAAAGAUGAAGCUUCCAAAAUCACCAUUUGGAAGGAACAGUACAGAGUUGUACAGGAGGAAAACCAGCAUAUGCAGAUGACGAUCCAGGCUCUCCAGGAUGAAUUGCGGAUCCAGAGGGACCUGAAUCAGCUGUUUCAGCAAGAUAGUAGCAGUAGGACUGGCGAACCUUGUGUAGCAGAGCUGACGGAGGAGAACUUUCAGAGGCUUCAUGCUGAGCAUGAGCGGCAGGCCAAAGAGCUAUUUCUUCUUCGAAAGACAUUGGAGGAAAUGGAGCUGCGUAUUGAGACUCAAAAGCAGACCCUAAAUGCUAGGGAUGAAUCCAUCAAGAAGCUUCUGGAGAUGUUGCAGAGCAAAGGACUUUCUGCCAAGGCUACUGAGGAAGACCAUGAGAGAACAAGACGACUGGCAGAGGCAGAGAUGCACGUUCACCACCUAGAAAGCCUUUUAGAGCAGAAGGAAAAAGAGAACAAUAUGUUGAGAGAGGAGAUGCAUCGAAGGUUUGAGAAUGCUCCCGAUUCUGCCAAAACAAAAGCUCUGCAAACUGUUAUUGAGAUGAAGGAUUCAAAAAUUUCCUCUAUGGAGCGUGGUCUUCGAGACCUGGAAGAGGAAAUUCAGAUGCUGAAAUCGAAUGGGGCUUUGAGUACUGAGGAACGGGAAGAAGAAAUGAAGCAAAUGGAGGUGUAUCGGAGCCAUUCUAAAUUUAUGAAAAAUAAGAUUGGCCAGGUGAAACAGGAACUGUCCAGAAAGGACACAGAAUUACUUGCCCUGCAGACAAAGCUAGAAACACUCACAAACCAGUUCUCAGAUAGUAAACAGCACAUUGAAGUGCUGAAGGAGUCCUUGACUGCCAAGGAGCAGAGGGCUGCCAUCCUGCAGACUGAGGUGGAUGCUCUCCGAUUGCGUUUGGAAGAGAAGGAAACCAUGUUGAAUAAAAAGACAAAACAAAUUCAGGAUAUGGCCGAGGAGAAGGGGACACAAGCUGGAGAGAUACAUGACCUCAAGGACAUGUUGGAUGUGAAGGAGCGGAAGGUUAAUGUUCUUCAGAAGAAGAUUGAAAAUCUUCAAGAGCAGCUUAGAGAUAAGGAAAAGCAGAUGAGCAGCUUGAAAGAACGGGUCAAAUCCUUGCAGGCUGACACCACCAAUACUGACACUGCCUUGACAACUUUGGAGGAGGCCCUUGCAGAGAAAGAGCGGACAAUCGAACGCUUAAAGGAGCAGAGGGACAGAGAUGAGCGGGAGAAACAAGAGGAAAUUGAUAACUACAAAAAAGAUCUGAAAGACUUGAAGGAAAAAGUCAGCCUAUUGCAAGGCGACCUUUCAGAGAAAGAGGCUUCACUUUUGGAUCUGAAAGAGCAUGCUUCUUCUCUGGCAUCCUCAGGACUGAAAAAGGACUCACGGCUUAAGACACUAGAGAUUGCUUUGGAGCAGAAGAAGGAGGAAUGUCUAAAAAUGGAAUCACAAUUAAAAAAGGCACAUGAGGCAGCAUUGGAAGCCAGGGCCAGUCCAGAGAUGAGUGACCGAAUACAGCACUUGGAGAGAGAGAUCACCAGGUACAAAGAUGAAUCUAGCAAGGCCCAGGCAGAAGUUGAUCGACUCCUAGAAAUCUUGAAGGAGGUGGAAAAUGAGAAGAAUGACAAAGAUAAGAAGAUAGCUGAGUUGGAAAGUCUCACCUCAAGGCAAGUGAAAGACCAGAAUAAGAAGGUAGCAAAUCUGAAGCAUAAGGAACAGGUGGAAAAAAAGAAGAGUGCACAAAUGCUAGAGGAGGCUCGACGACGGGAGGACAAUCUCAACGACAGCUCUCAGCAGCUACAGGACAGUCUCCGUAAGAAGGAUGACAGGAUUGAAGAGCUGGAAGAAGCACUAAGAGAAAGUGUACAGAUAACUGCAGAGCGGGAAAUGGUGCUAGCACAAGAGGAAUCAGCCAGGACCAAUGCUGAAAAACAGGUGGAGGAGUUACUGAUGGCCAUGGAGAAAGUAAAGCAGGAACUAGAAUCCAUGAAAGCAAAGCUGUCCUCUACCCAGCAGUCUCUGGCAGAAAAGGAAACUCACUUGACUAAUCUUCGCGCAGAGAGAAGGAAACACUUAGAGGAAGUUCUGGAGAUGAAGCAAGAAGCUCUUCUGGCUGCCAUUAGUGAAAAAGAUGCCAAUAUAGCCCUCUUGGAGCUUUCAUCCUCUAAGAAAAAGACCCAAGAGGAAGUGGCUGCACUGAAGCGGGAGAAGGAUCGUCUAGUACAGCAACUUAAGCAGCAGACACAAAAUCGAAUGAAGCUAAUGGCCGACAACUAUGAGGAUGACCACUUCAAAUCCUCCCAUUCCAAUCAAACAAAUCACAAGCCCUCCCCAGACCAGGAUGAGGAGGAGGGUAUAUGGGCAUAGCCAAUCAGAGGCUCUUAGUUCAGCCAUUUUGUUCAGAACGAUCAUCCAGCCCCUCUUAGAACUUGACCAAAAUAGAAGUAAAUUAAAGUUGUACAUUGGACACCUGACAGCCCUCUGCCAUGACCGAGACCCCCUGAUCCUCCGUGGACUCACUCCACCAGCUUCCUAUAACUUGGACGAUGACCAGGCGGCUUGGGAGAAUGAGCUGCAGAAGAUGACCCAGGGGCAGCUUCAGAAUGAGUUAGAGAAAGGUGAGCGGGACAACGCAGAGCUGCAGGAGUUUGCCAACGCCAUUCUUCAGCAGAUAGCAGACCAUUGCCCCGACAUCCUAGAGCAAGUGGUCAACGCACUGGAAGAGUCCUCCUGACGCUGCUUUGUGCGGAAGCCUGAGGUGGUCGACCCAGGACAAGAAAGGAGAACUACAAGGAACAGGCGCCCGGAACCUUCUUGGCACCAAACACUACAAACUUCAUCCCAUCUUGCUCACUUGAAGAAGUAUGAUUCCAGCACCGUUUCUACAUCUGCCAUCUUACUCUGCCUUUCUGCUUUGGAUGUGGUCUAUACACUAAUCUUCCUGAUGUUCAGGGUGGAUAAAAUGCCGAGUCUCUCUGAAGAAGUGCCACCUGGUCGUCAGCAGUGGAGAACUGUGGGAGCUGGUGGCUCUGCCCUGACAGAGGGCCAUGGAGCAGAGGAGACUCUCACCUCCUGUCCUCUGACAUGAGAACAAACCAGGAAUCUACUUGGAGUUCACUGGGCUGAGAGGAUGCCUCCAACGGACCAGAGAGCUGACUGUCCUAAUGUCACUUUAGGUGCUUUCUCCUAAAAGGGUAAAAAACAAUCUCAAAAAGAAUAUUAGAAAAAGAGAAAGGGGGAGGGAAGAGAAAAUCGACUCUUCUUUUUACUGUGAGAUGCUUUAUACAAGGGAGCUGUGAGCAGGCCUCACGAUGGCUUGGGAGUGCUUGUCCUCCACGGUCUGAGUCUUCACCCAGCCCUGCCGGUCUGUCCCAACCUUCCUCAUUCUGUUCCGCAGCCAGUUAACAAGAAGAUGGUAUGAACUGUUCUCCACCAGUCUCUCCUGUUUGAGAUUGCUGACUUUAUCAUAGUGAGGUGUUAGAUCAAAUAUCUCUUAUUUGAAAGAGAACCAGCCAGGGCAACAUGGCGAGACCCUGUCUCUACAAAAAACUAAAAAGAGAACAUGCACAGUUGACAUCUGAGGCCCUGUUGUCCUCACCUGCAGCUGUGCCCCAGUAGCAGAUGCCCUGAUCAUCUCCAGGAGGCUGCCUGCCUGCCCCACACCCGUGUCCUGCGGCCCAGUGGCCGCUGAAGUUUUGAUCUGUCACUCACCCUGCUAGGUCUGCCCUUGACUCAUCCUCUCGUAACCUCAGCCUUGUGCAUUGCCUGGAACCUUCUUCUGGCAUAAAUGAAGGUUUCUCGUUCUACACACAUUCCUUCCUUGAUCAUUUCAUUCAGAGAAUAUUUAUGAAAUGCCUACUGUGUCCAAGUCACCCAUCCUUGAAAAGGCCACUUUUCAGUGAGGGAGAGGUAUAGUGGAGUCUGUGAGACACACCUGCCUGAGCCAGAGCGCUAAGUAGCCUACCCUUCCCUCUCCCCAUCUUAAGAAAAGGUAUCUUUUCUAGAAAAGUUCCCUAAUGGAAUUCCUGAGUUUGGGGGCCUCAGUCACCCACUUGCCUGUAGGAUUCCAUUUGAUGAUUCUGGAUUUUUGCUGUUCGUUGUUGCCCUUAGAGGGACUCUGAGUAUCUACUUGUGGGUGGCCAUUUCCUGACACCUGCGUGUACCUCGUGGAACUCAGCCAGCUUCAUGUUGCAAAUCAGAAAGCGGACCCCAAGACUACAAAUCCAAUGGAAGGUAUUGGCGUUGUUAAGGGCAUCUUCCCAAGCGUAGACAGUGGCAGUCAUAAGUAAUUAGGCACCAAGAAGUAGCCCACUUAGCCCGAAUCUAGCCCUUUGGCCACCUCUACCACCAGAACCCAGCAGCUACUCACAUCUUCUGAUAAGAAUUGCUGGACUCUAAAAUGUUUUUGUUUUGCAUUUUCUUGUCAUCUUCCCCACUUACUUAGAGAAUUUAAACUCUGUAAAGUCAGCACAGCCCCAUCAGUCCAAGAACUUCCCACCACCAGCCCUUGACUGUCCCAUUAACUUAUAUGGUCAGAUCUCCAGCUCCCCUUAUUUCCUGCUGUAAAACAAUUCAUCUCCCUGUGAGAAACUGUGGAGCAUUUCUUACUGAAGGUUUAAAUGGACUCUGCUCAUAAACGUCUUACUGAGAUGCUUCCUGAUAGUGAGGCUGGCCAGAGAGGGGUGCAGGAGUUAGACUGUAAGUGGUAGUCCUUUGUGGUCAAUUACCUCAAUUCUGUUUAUCACUGAGCCCGUAAAUCAUGUGGAAAGCUCCCAGUACUUCAAGGCAGGAGUAUUAGAAUCUCACUUUAUCCACCGUAUGAUAAUAGCCUUCACAGGCCACAGCAGAACCAAGAAAGCAGGUGAGGCGAUGCCUAAAGUGGCCUGACCCUGGCCCUGGCCAGCUGUUCUCCCUCUGGUCUAGCAGGAAAGGCAUCAAGCAGGUGCCCCAGAUCCCACCCACGUGGCCUUUCUCAUCAGGUAGAGCACCUCCACUCUCACCCACUGGGUGAGUGACUCUUCAUCUCAACAUUCUCCAUCACUUCCCCUCCAGAAAAACUUACAGAAGGAAGCCCUCUGUGACAGUGCUUCUGAGAAGAAAAUUUCUGGGACAGAUAUUAUCCAUCUGGUCUCUAUGAACAGCAAGGAAUCUUCUUGGUCCCUCUUGGGCACUGGUCUGGCAUCUCCAGUGAUCUGGAGCCUGGCUAAGAGUUCAAUAAUAAACAUGGCCUGCCUUUACGCUGUAGGGCAGAGUGGAUGCAGUUUGUAGCAUUCAGAGUAUCUCACUGAGUCUAGAACAUUCACUGAACCAACACUUACCAAAUGUCCCACCCCCAUCUCACUAGGACAUGUCAUUCCAUGGCCCUCUCCUAGUAGUCAUGGUUUCAUAAGGUCACGCACCUGCUUCUGACGUUACAUAGCCUUGAAAACUCACUGUGGAUUGCCCUUAAUCUUCCCCAGACUCAUCCAUCGGCAAGUCUAGUUGCCCUUUAGCACCUAAAGAUCUGUACCCCAAGUCAGUGUCACCAUAAAGAGGGCAAGAAGAAGAGUGGGUGUGAUCCCAGUGGGGUUUUGUAACUGAAGAAGUACAGUGUGAGGUUCCCAUCCUUUCUUAGGCCUCUAACCCCCGUACUCAUUGAAUCACGGAUGAAGGGUCUCCAUUGAGAUUUGCAAGGACUUUGAUUGCAUUUGAAAUGGGAAAGAUUUUGAAUGGGCUUUAACAUGUUAAGAAAUAUGGAUGGGACCGGUGCGGUGGCUCACACCUGUAUUCCUAGCACUUUGGGAAGCUGAGGCAGGCACAUCACCUGAGAUCAGGAGUCGAGACCAGCUUGGUCAGCAUGGCAAAACCCCAUCUUUACUAAAAAUACAAAAUUAGCCAGGCGUGAUGGUGGGCACCUGUAAUCCCAGUUACUUGGGAGGCAGGAGAAUCACUUGAGCCUGGGAGGCGGAGGCUGCAGUGAGCCAAGAUCACAUCACUGCACUCCAGCCUGGGUGACAGAG